rnacentral:rRNA from 1 species
GGAAUCUUAGACAAUGGGCGCAAGCCUGAUCUAGCCAUGCCGCGUGAGCGAUGAAGGCCUUAGGGUUGUAAAGCUCUUUCACCGGGGAAGAUAAUGACGGUACCCGGAGAAGAAGCCCCGGCUAACUUCGUGCCAGCAGCCGCGGUAAUACGGAGGGGGCUAGCGUUGUUCGGACUUACUGGGCGUAAAGCGCGCGUAGGCGGAUUGUUAAGUCGGGGGUGAAAUCCCGGGGCUCAACCCCGGAACUGCCUCCGACACUGGCAGUCUUGAGUCCGAGAGAGGUGAGUGGAAUUCCGAGUGUAGAGGUGAAAUUCGUAGAUAUUCGGAGGAACACCAGUGGCGAAGGCGGCUCACUGGCUCGGUACUGACGCUGAGGUGCGAAAGCUAGGGGAGCAAAC